AAACAUCACCUCUAGCAUAACUAGUAUUAGAGGCACUGCCUGCCCAGUGACAAUCGUUAAACGGCCGCGGUAUCUUGACCGUGCAAAGGUAGCAUAAUCACUUGUUCUCUAAAUAAGGACUUGUAUGAAUGGCCACACGAGGGUUUUACUGUCUCUUACUCUUAAUCAGUGAAAUUGACCUCCCCGUGAAGAGGCGGGGAUAAUGCAAUAAGACGAGAAGACCCUAUGGAGCUUUAAUUAAUCAACUCAAAAAGCAUAAAAUAAUACCACCAAGGGAUAACAAAGCUUUAGAUGAGCUGACAAUUUCGGUUGGGGUGACCUCGGAGUAUAAAAAACCCUCCGAGUGAUUAAAACUUAGGCCUACCAGCCAAAGUAUAGUAUCACUUAUUGAUCCAAAAUUUUGAUCAACGGAACAAGUUACCCUAGGGAUAACAGCGCAAUCCUAUUCUAGAGUCCAUAUCGACAAUAGGGUUUACGACCUCGAUGUUGGAUCAGGACAUCCUAAUGGUGCAGCAGCUAUUAAGGGUUCGUUUGUUCAACGAUUAAAGUCCUACGUGAUCUG
rnacentral:rRNA from 1 species